rnacentral:rRNA from 1 species
CGGGACGGGUGAGUAACGCGUGGGUAACCUGCCUCAUACAGGGGGAUAACUGCUGGAAACGGUAGCUAAUACCGCAUAACGUCGCAAGACCAAAGAGGGGGACCUUCGGGCCUCUUGCCAUCGGAUGUGCCCAGAUGGGAUUAGCUAGUAGGUGGGGUAACGGCUCACCUAGGCGACGAUCCCUAGCUGGUCUGAGAGGAUGACCAGCCACACUGGAACUGAGACACGGUCCAG